UACAGAGGGUGCGAGCGUUGCUCGGAAUGACUGGGCGUAAAGGGCGCGUAGGCGGUUUGGCUAGUUAGACGUGAAAUUCCUGGGCUCAACCUGGGGACUGCGUUUAAUACAUCCAGACUUGAGUGUGGAAGAGGGUCGUGGAAUUCCCAGUGUAGAGGUGAAAUUCGUAGAUAUCGGGAGGAACACCAGGUGCGAAGGCGGCGAAUCUGGGCAGAUACUGACGCUGAGGUGCGAAAGCGUGGGGAGCAACAGG
rnacentral:rRNA from 1 species